UACGGGGGGGGCAAGCGUUGUUCGGAAUUACUGGGCGUAAAGGGCUCGUAGGUGGCCAACUAAGUCAUACGUGAAAUCCCUCGGCUUAACCGGGGAACUGCGUCUGAUACUGGAUGGCUUGAGGUUGGGAGAGGGAUGCGGAAUUCCAGGUGUAGCGGUGAAAUGCGUAGAUAUCUGGAGGAACACCGGUGGCGAAGGCGGCAUCCUGGACCGAGACUGACACUGAGGAGCGAAAGCCAGGGGAGCAAACGGG
rnacentral:rRNA from 1 species